rnacentral:rRNA from 1 species
GACGAACGCUGGCGGCGUGCAUAAUACAUGCAAGUCGAACGCAGUGGGGACGGGUGAGUAACACGUGGGUAACCUCCCAUCAGAGGGGAUAACACUUGGAAACCGGUGCUAAACCGAUACUGAUGGAUGGACGAGCGGUGCAGUAGCUAGUGGGUGAGGUAACGGCUCACCAAGACCACGAUGCAUAGCCGACUGUGGAGGGUGAUCGGCCACACUGGGACUGAGAAACGGCCCAGACUCCUACGGGAGGCAGCAGUAGGGAAUCUUCGGCAAUGGACGAAAGUCUGACCGAGCAACGCCGCGUGAGUGAAGAAGGUUUUCGGAUCGUAAAACUCUGUUGUUAGAGAAGCGGUAUCUAACCAGAAAGCCACGGCUAACUACGUGCCAGCAGCCGCGGUAAUAC